rnacentral:rRNA from 1 species
UACGAAGGGGGCAAGCGUUGUUCGGAAUUACUGGGCGUAAAGGGCGCGUAGGCGGCUUCGUCAGUCAGGUGUGAAAGCCCUGGGCUCAACCCGGGAACUGCAUUCGAUACUGCGAAGCUCGAGUCUCGGAGAGGUUGGUGGAAUUCCCAGUGUAGAGGUGAAAUUCGUAGAGAUUGGGAAGAACACCGGUGGCGAAGGCGGCCAACUGGACGAGCACUGACGCUGAGGCGCGAAAGCGUGGGGAGCAAACAGG